rnacentral:rRNA from 1 species
UGGGGAAUCUUGGACAAUGGGCGCAAGCCUGAUCCAGCCAUGCCGCGUGAGUGAAGAAGGCCUUCGGGUUGUAAAGCUCUUUUACCAGGGACGAUAAUGACGGUACCUGGAGAAUAAGCCCCGGCAAACUUCGUGCCAGCAGCCGCGGUAAUACGAAGGGGGCUAGCGUUGUUCGGAAUUACUGGGCGUAAAGCGCACGUAGGCGGAUUGUUAAGUCAGAGGUGAAAUCCCGGAGCUCAACUUCGGAACUGCCUUUGAUACUGGCAAUCUAGAGUCCGGAAGAGGUUAGUGGAAUUCCCAGUGUAGAGGUGAAAUUCGUAGAUAUUGGGAAGAACACCAGUGGCGAAGGCGGCUAACUGGUCCGGUACUGACGCUGAGGUGCGAAAGCGUGGGGAGCAAACAGGAUUAGAUACCCCAGUAGUCCCUGAG